CCAGACUCCUACGGGAGGCAGCAGUGGGGGAUAUUGCACAAUGGGGGAAACCCUGAUGCAGCGACGCCGCGUGAGUGAAGAAGUAAUUCGUUACGUAAAGCUCUAUCAGCAGGGAAGAAAAUGACGGUACCUGACUAAGAAGCCCCGGCUAACUACGUGCCAGCAGCCGCGGUAAUACGUAGGGGGCAAGCGUUAUCCGGAUUUACUGGGUGUAAAGGGAGCGUAGACGGCAGUGCAAGUCCGGAGUGAAAGCCCGGGGCUCAACCCUGGGACUGCUCUGGAAACUGUAAAGCUGGAGUGCGGGAGGGGCAGGCGGAAUUCCUGGUGUAGCGGUGAAAGGCGUAGAUAUACGGAGGAACACCAGUGGCGAAGGCGGAGUGCUGGACAGUAACUGACGCUGAGGCGCGAAAGCGUGGGGAGCAAACAGGAUUAGAUACCCUAGUAAAA
rnacentral:rRNA from 1 species